rnacentral:rRNA from 1 species
AGGACGAACGCUGGCGGCGUGCUUAACACAUGCAAGUCGAGCGGAAAGGCCCUUCGGGGUACUCGAGCGGCGAACGGGUGAGUAACACGUGAGAAACCUGCCUUUAGCUCUGGGAUAGCUUCGGGAAACCGGAAUUAAUACCGGAUACGACUACUGUCGGCAUCGACAAUGGUGGAAAGAUUUAUCGGCUAGAGAUGGUCUCGCGGCCUAUCAGCUUGUUGGUGAGGUAACGGCUCACCAAGGCGACGACGGGUAGCCGGCCUGAGAGGGCGACCGGCCACACUGGGACUGAGACACGGCCCAGACUCCUACGGGAGGCAGCAGUGGGGAAUAUUUCGCAAUGGGCGAAAGCCUGACGCAGCAACGCCGCGUGGGGGAUGAAUGCCUUCGGGUUGUAAGCUCUUUGGUCGGGAAGAAGGUUUUCUUGAAUACGGGAGAAUUUGACGGUACCGGCAGAAUAAGCACCGGCUAACUACGUGCCAGCAGCCGCGGUA